ACUUUGAUUAUGGCUCAGGAUGAACGCUAGCUACAGGCUUAACACAUGCAAGUCGAGGGGCAGCAUGGACCCAGCUUUGCUGGGUUUGAUGGCGACCGGCGCACGGGUGAGUAACGCGUAUCCAACCUGCCCUUUACUCCGGGAUAGUCUCCUGAAAGGGAGUUUAAUACCGGAUGUGUUUGUCUUUCCGCAUGGGAGCGACAAAUAAAGAUUAAUUGGUAAAGGAUGGGGAUGCGUCCCAUUAGCUUGUUGGCGGGGUAACGGCCCACCAAGGCGACGAUGGGUAGGGGUUCUGAGAGGAAGGUCCCCCACAUUGGAACUGAGACACGGUCCAAACUCCUACGGGAGGCAGCAGUGAGGAAUAUUGGUCAAUGGGCGGGAGCCUGAACCAGCCAAGUAGCGUGAAGGACGACGGCCCUACGGGUUGUAAACUUCUUUUAUAAGGGAAUAAAGUUCGCCACGUGUGGUGUUUUGUAUGUACCUUAUGAAUAAGCAUCGGCUAAUUCCGUGCCAGCAGCCGCGGUAAUACGGAAGAUGCGAGCGUUAUCCGGAUUUAUUGGGUUUAAAGGGAGCGUAGGCGGGCUUUUAAGUCAGCGGUCAAAUGUCGUGGCUCAACCAUGUCAAGCCGUUGAAACUGUAAGCCUUGAGUCUGCACAGGGCACAUGGAAUUCGUGGUGUAGCGGUGAAAUGCUUAGAUAUCACGAAGAACUCCGAUCGCGAAGGCAUUGUGCCGGGGCAUAACUGACGCUGAGGCUCGAAAGUGCGGGUAUCAAACAGGAUUAGAUACCCUGGUAGUCCGCACGGUAAACGAUGAAUGCUCGCUAUGGGCGAUAUAUUGUCCGUGGCCAAGCGAAAGCGUUAAGCAUUCCACCUGGGGAGUACGCCGGCAACGGUGCAACUCAAAUGAAUUGACGG
rnacentral:rRNA from 1 species